rnacentral:rRNA from 1 species
AUUGAACGCUGGCGGCAGGCCUAACACAUGCAAGUCGAGCGGAGCGGCGGACGGGAGAGUAAUGCCUAGAAAUCUGCCUGGCAGAGGGGGAUAAAGUACGGAAACGGGCGCUAAUAACGAAUACGAUCAGAUGAGCGAAGGUAGGAUUAGCUAGUUGGUGGGGUAAGGGCUUACCAAGGCACCGAACCGUAACUGGUCUGAGAGGAUGAUCAGUCACACUGGAACUGAGACACGGUCCAGACUCCUACGGGAGGCAGCAGUGGGGAAUAUUGGACAAUGGGCGAAAGCCUGAUCCAGCCAUGCCGCGUGUGUGAAGAAGGUCUUCGGAUUGUAAAGCACUUUAAGUUGGGAGGCGUUACCAACAGAAUAAGCACCGGCUAACUUCGUGCCAGCAGCCGCGGUAAUAC